AUGCCUGACAGGACCGGCGCAACCAUGCUCGAGGAUCUGCCCGAGGAGAUGAUGCACAAAAUACUCAUCCGGUUGCCAUCCAAGGCCGUCGGCCGCUGCCGUGCUGUCAGCACGUCUUGGCACAGUGCCACAUCCACACCUGAAUUCAUGCUCGAGCACCGCCGCCGCCAGCCAUCGCUCCCUAUUGUCGAUGGGCAGGGGCGGCCCGCCAGUUAUGUCGUCUUAGGUGACGCUGGUGCUGGCACCUCAAAUCAAGAGCUCUGGCCCUUUCUCCAGGACUGCAAACACCGUUUUAAGAAUAGCCUCAAAGGCUCCUGUGAUGGCUUCUUCAUUAUGUACCUCUGGACGCGGUCCCAUUUCUUCAUCUGCAACCCGGUCACCCGCAAGUCUGUUGUCCUAAUGCAGCCUCAAGGGCUCAACUUCGUAGUUGGUUUCUACUGCCACCAUCCAACUGGAGAAUAUAGGGUGCUCUGGGUCUCGCAGUCAUAUGACUUGUCUACAUCUAGAUUAUACAUCGUCACAGUGGGAUCGGACAAGCCGAGGCAUGCAAUAGUCAGAAUGCAGACGGCCUCAUCGCCUUCCAUGGAACAGAAGUUACUGAAUGAGCUGCGAUUGUCAUCCGACCACUCACCAGCAGUCCACCACCAUGGAAGCCUCCACUGGUGUCUUUAUGAUGCUAGUGACAUCAUGGGAGGUGGUGGAGACAUUAUUGUGUUUGACACAGAAGCCGAGUCAUUCCGUUGGAUGCGUAGUCCUGCUCAGCCAUGCCCUAAUAGGAAAUUGUUCGACAUGAAAGGGACACUUGCUUGCUGGGCCGGCUUGACUCCUAGUUUCACUGCUAUUGAUGUCUGGGUGAUGCAAGAUUAUGAGGCGGAAAUCUGGACUUUCAAGUACUGGAUUGAACUUUCAACGGUGGAGGCAUCACGGCAACUUUAUUUAAGUUCAGUCAAAAAGAAAAAGAAAAAGAAAACACCACUUGAUUCAGCGGUGCAAUCAUUCAGUGAUAUGGCUGUGAUAAACGAGUGUGAGUUGCUGAUCAUGUUUAAUAACAAGCAUGUGUUGCGUUGCGACAUUGAUGGCAAGUUCUUAGGUUUGGUUAAUAUUGGAAAAAGUCAAUAUUGUAUGGGGCUUAGUCAGCACCGCCUUCAGGAGAGCAUUAUUGCAAUUCCAUCAUGA
rnacentral:rRNA from 1 species